rnacentral:rRNA from 1 species
CAAGCCUCUGUUAGUACGUGUUCUAUUUGUGGCAUGGAGGAUGAAAAUACCUUUCAUACGCUUGUCUUGUGCCCGAAGGCGCGUGCGCUUCGCAUGGCCAUGAGGAACAUUUGGGCUCUACCUGCUGAGGAGGUUUUCAGAUAUACGGGGUAUGAUUGGUUUAUUGUUCUCCUGAGUCUAUUAAACCCUGUAAUGCGAGACCAAAUUAUAUUCUUAUGCUGGAGGGCCUGGCAUUUGAGAAAUGAUUUGAUCUUUGGUAAAGGAAAGGAAUCAGUUUCAGCUUCUGCUUGCUUUGUGGAGAAUUAUUGGGCGUCCUUUGGUGCAUAUCAUUCUCCAAUGCCGGUGGAUUUUAAAAAUAAAGGAAAAGGUCUGUUGGUCCGGAUUAGCGGAGUUCCUACUUCUCUGGAGGCGAGUAGUGGCUGGUCCCCGCCUCCUGCAGGUUGGUUCAUGAUUAAUGUCGAUGACAGCUUUGUGGAGUCCAUUAGAGGAGCCAGUGUGUGUUGGGGAAUGUAG